ensembl:lncRNA
AUGCGUGUCUCUUGCCAGCAACAUGUGCAUUCAUCUCACGUAGGACUCAAAGAGAAGGCUGUGGUUGUCACGACCCGUCGUGAAGAAGCUGCUGCUCCAUCUGUGACUCCAGAAGCUGAACCGACACCCGAAGCUGUGUUUGAGCCUGAGCCUGUGGAAGAUGUGAUUGAAGCUGCUGUAGCAGAGGACACUUCUGCACCAGCACCAGAGCUUGAGAUCGAUCCUAAGCCGGAGGUAGAAUCUGAGGCUGAGGUAGAUCCUGAGCCUGUGGAGACCCCUGAGGUGUUUGAGGAGGAUCCGGAGGUGCUGGAGGCGGAGCAGGCUGUUGAGGAGGUUGAAGAAACAAUCGAAGAGCAGCCUGUGGAGACGGAGGCAGCAUUCAAGGAGGAGACUGCAACAGGGCCGGCCGUGGAGG